rnacentral:tRNA from 1 species
GGGAAAGUAGCUCAGUAGUAGAGUGCUUGCCUUGCAUGCAUGAGGCCCUGGGUUCAAUUCCUCAGCACCA